rnacentral:rRNA from 1 species
UAGGAGAGCGUUCUGUAGGCCUGCGAAGGUGUCUCGUGAGGGAUGCUGGAGGUAUCAGAAGUGCGAAUGCUGACAUGAGUAGCGAUAAAGGGAGUGAAAAGCUCCCUCGCCGAAAGCCCAAGGUUUCCUGCGCAACGUUCAUCGGCGCAGGGUGAGUCGGCCCCUAAGGUGAGGCAGAAAUGCGUAGCUGAUGGGAAAUCGGUUAAAAUUCCGAUACCUUUGUACAAUGCGAUGGGGGGACGGAGUAGGUUAGGUCAGCCGGGUGUUGGACGUCCCGGUUUAAGCGAGUAGGCUGGUCCUUUAGGCAAAUCCGGAGGGCUAAGGCUGAGACGUGAUGACGAGCGCUCUUUGAGCGCGAAGUGAUUGAUACCAUGCUUCCAAGAAAAGCCUCUAAGCUUCAGUUGUAUGAAGACCGUACCGCAAACCGACACAGGUGGGCAGGAUGAGAAUUCUAAGGCGCUUGAGAGAACUCGGGUGAAGGAACUCGGCAAAUUUGCACCGUAACUUCGGGAGAAGGUGCGCCCCGGUAGGUUGUAGUCCCUCGCGGACGAAGGCCGAUGGGGUUGCAGUGAAAAGGUGGCUGCGACUGUUUAAUAAAAACACAGCACUCUGCAAACACGAAAGUGGACGUAUAGGGUGUGACGCCUGCCCGGUGCUGGAAGGUUAAGUGAUGGGGUGCAAGCUCUUGAUCGAAGCCCCAGUAAACGGCGGCCGUAACUAUAACGGUCCUAAGGUAGCGAAAUUCCUUGUCGGGUAAGUUCCGACCCGCACGAAUGGCGUAACGAUGGCCACACUGUCUCCUCCUGAGACUCAGCGAAGUUGAAAUGUUUGUGAAGAUGCAAUCUACCCGCUGCUAGACGGAAAGACCCCGUGAACCUUUACUGUAGCUUUGCAUUGGACUUUGAACAGGCUUGUGUAGGAUAGGUGGGAGGCUAUGAAGUACGGUCGCUAGAUCGUAUGGAGCCGUCCUUGAAAUACCACCCUGGUGUGUUUGAGGUUCUAACCUUGGUCCGUGAUCCGGAUCGGGAACAGUGCAUGGUAGGCAGUUUGACUGGGGCGGUCUCCUCCCAAAGUGUAACGGAGGAGUUCGAAGGUUACCUAGGUACGGUCGGAAAUCGUGCUGAUAGUGCAAUGGCAAAAGGUAGCUUAACUGCGAGACCGACAAGUCGAGCAGGUGCGAAAGCAGGACAUAGUGAUCCGGUGGUUCUGUAUGGAAGGGCCAUCGCUCAACGGAUAAAAGGUACUCUGGGGAUAAC